CAGCACACUGGAGGUUAAGUCAUGCACUAAAUAGGGAGCAAGGGAGCAUCCUAUAGCUCUCCUAUAACUGUUCUGAGACCAGUGCAGACAGACAGCACACUGGAGGUUAUGUCAUGCACUAAAUAGGGAGCAAGGGAGCAUCCUAUAGCUCUCCUAUAACUGUUCUGAGACCAGUGCAGACAGACAGCACACUGGAGGUUAUGUCAUGCACUAAAUAGGGAGCAAGGGAGCAUCCUAUAGCUCUCCUAUAACUGUUCUGAGACCAGUGCAGACAGACAGCACACUGGAGGUUAAGUCAUGCACUAAAUAGGGAGCAAGGGAGCAUCCUAUAGCUCUCCUAUAACUGUUCUGAGACCAGUGCAGACAGACAGCACACUGGAGGUUAAGUCAUGCACUAAAUAGGGAGCAAGGGUGCAUCCUAUA